rnacentral:tRNA from 1 species
ACCUGGAUGGCUCAGACGGUUGAGCGUCUGACUUUGACUCAGGUCACAAUCUCACAGUUUGUGGGUUCAAGCCCUGCAUCGGGCU